AAGGAUUUAGUAAUUUCUCCUCAGACCACAAAGAGAUGGUUUUACAUCCCUAACUAGCUGCAUAGAAAGCUGGGAGCUGAACCAGCAUGCCAUACUGCCACCUACCUACAGCGGUGCUGACAGUUCUUCAGCUUAGCCAACAAACCAGCUAGUAUCUGCCCUGUGCCCGGCAAUGAGCCCGCUCCAGCUGGGAAUGCCCAGGUCCUGGUCUAAUUGAGAAGCUUGUAGCAGGGGAACUUUGAACCUGGCUGCCUGGAAAGUUGGAAGCAACCCAGAUGUCUUCAGUAGGUGAAUGGAUAAAUAAACUGUGGUGCAUCCCAAUAUUGGAAUAGGAUUCAACACUAAAAAGAAAUGAGCUAUCAAGCCAUGAAAAGAUUUAAAUGCACAUUAUUCAAGUUAAGGAAGACAAUCUGAAAAGGCUACACCCUGUAUGAGUCCAACUCUAUGACACCCUGGAAAAGGCAAAACUAUGGAGACAGUAAAAAGAUCAGGGGUUGCCAAGGGUUGGAUGUUGGGGGAGGGAUGAAUAGAUAGAACAUAGAGGAUUCUUCAGACAGUGAAACUACUCUGUCUGAUACUGUAAUGGUGGAUACACACUAUUAUACAAUAUCCAAACCCAUAGAAUGUACAACACCAAGACUGAACCUCUAACUCCUGGGCUCAAGAGAUCCUCUGCCUCAGCCCCCCAAGUAGCUGAAACUAUUGGUGCACACGACCACAUCUGGCCAAUUUUUUAAAAAUUACUAUAGAGGCAGGAUCUCACUAUGUUGCCCAGGAUAGUCUCAAACUUCUGCCUUCAAGCCAUCCUCCUGCCUCAACCUCCCAAAGUGCUGGGAUUGCCACCACCCAGGCUCGCCCCUGGUCCUUAGUUGGCAAUAAAGUAUCACUCUUGGCUCAUCAGUUGCAACAUCAGCAUAUCACAGUAAUGCAAGAGGUUUACAGUGCAGGACAUGGGGACUUGGUGAGGGGACAUGAGAAUCCUCUGUACAUUCUGUUCAAUUUGUCUCAAAAUAAAAUAUAUUCAUUCAAAUAAAACAACUAAUUUCUUAUCAACUCAUGUCAUAAAAUGGACUGAUGGGAGACUAAGCCAGUAUCCUAUUAGCAGACACAACCAGAAAUUAAGAGUGGUCCCAUGUCAAAGAGGUUUGCCCAAGCAUUGCAGAUACAGGACUGAACAGACUGCCAUCCUGGCCAUCUCGAAUGUCAAUGUUAGUAAUAGUUAUUUUAUUAUGAUGUUGAACUCAUCAUCUAUAAUGCCAUAUUUGUUGCUUCAAUUAUCACAUUUAACCUGUCACAAGCUUAAUAAUAUAUAUUCUUUAAAAAGAUAGUUUGUGGAUCAAGAACUCCCAGUUAAACCUGGUAGACGAGCUGUGUGUGUUUGUUGCUCUCCCUUCAAAAAAACUGCUAAAAUAAUAAUUAAAAAGAUACAAACCCACUUGUCAAAGGGAGAAGAGACCAACGGCAGACAUAAGAUUCCAGAGGAUUUUUGGAGAGUGGAAAGAGCAUGGAGUUGACUUAGAAAAGCAUUCCAGGCCGGGCGUGGUGGUGUGAGUAAUCCCAGCACUUUGGGAGGCUAAGGCAGGCGGACUGCUUGAGGUCAAGAGUUCGAGACCAGCCUGGCCAACAUGGCAAAACCCCGUCUCUACUAAAAAUACCAAAAAAAAAAAUUAGCUGGGCAUGGUAGCAGGUGGCAGGUGCCUGUAAUCCCAGCUACUGGGGAGGCUGAGGCAGGAGAAUUUCUUGAGCCAAUUCUCCCAAUUGAGGGAGGUGGAUGUUGCAGUGAGCCGAGGUCGUGCCACUGCACUCCAGCCUGGGUGACAGAGUGCGACUCCAUCUCUAAAAAAGAAAAAAAAAAAAGAAAAAGAA
rnacentral:antisense_RNA from 1 species